rnacentral:lncRNA from 1 species
CUAAAGUCCUCCUGGGGUCUCCUGAGGUCCUCCUGGGGGUCUCCUGAGGUCCACUUGGGGGGUCUCCUGAGAUCCUCCUGGGGUCUCCGGAUGUCCUCCUGGGGGGUCUCCUGAGGUCCUCCUGGGGUCUCUGGAUGUCCUCCUGGGGGUCUCCUGAAGUCCUCCUGGGGUCUCCUGAGCAUCCUCCUGGGGGUCUCCUGAGAUCCUCUUGAAGGUCUCCUGAUAUCCUCCUGGAGGUCUCCUGAGCAUCCUUCUGGGGGUUCUCCUAUAGAGGUCCUCCUGGAAGUUUCCUGAAGAAGUCCUCCUGGGAGUUUCUUGGAGAUGUCAUCCAGGGGGGCUCUGGAAGAAAUCAUCCUGGGGGUUUCCUGGAGGGAGAUCUGCCUCUGCCAUGGGGGUUCUCUUGGGGGCUGGCUUAAGGGAGCAGCCACAGCUCUUCUUCAUAGGACAGGACACACAGGGACACAUGCUAUAUGGAGGCCUGGACUGUCCCCAGAGCCUGUCUCUCAUCUGUCAUGAGAAAAUGAUGGAAAGUGGGGACUUUUUUUUUUUUUUGGUACUGGGGAUCGAACUUAGGUCCUUGCGCUUGCGAAGCAGGAGGCAGAACCACUGAGCUAAAUGCCCAGCCCAUGUGGGGACUUUUUCUCUGCAGCUGUGUUUUUUUUAAAAUUUAAUUUAAUUUUAUUUUUUGGUACCGGGGAUCGAACUUGGGUCCUUGCGCUUGUGCAGCAGGCAGCGAAACCACUGAGCUAAAUCCCCGGCCCUUGCAGCUGCGUUUUGCAAGGUUCCCUCUGUUUCAGAGGGGGCACCUGAGUCUUCAGUUUCCACGAUGGGUUCCCCCGAAGCCCCCGCAGGAGCCACCCCCUCAGAGUAGUCUCUUUGGGCAGUAUUGAAAGCCAGGGCCGUGGGAAGGUGGGGACAUUGGGAGCGUGUUGCCUUUGCAGUUUUUGUGUGGUACAGAGGUGCCCGCAGCUGGCCAACAUUCACACAGGUGUUCAAGGCACACUUGGAGCCAGAGGUGGCUUUGAGGUUCACAUCUGCCAUGGCCUCGUGGGCACUGCACUUGACUCUGGAGUGGAUGGAGACAUUUGCUAGCUAUCCUGUCAACUUCGCAGAUUUCACAACACCUGAUGAAAAGGGCUCCAGCGACAUCUGGGGAGACUUCAAAGUUUGUCUCAUUCCUGUUUUGGUCCCAAAUCAAAUCCACAAAACUAAGGUGGCUCAGGUGGCUCGCCAUGGCGCGAGCUCUGGCCAUAUUGGUGAGGAGGGGCAGCCUGGCCUUGUCUUGAGAAGUCCUCAGCUGAGCCCUCUUGGGGGUCAGGCUUGGGCUCCCCAGGGCCUUCGGCUGAGCCUCCAGGAACUGAGAAUGCUGGCAGGUGCUCAGGAUGGGGGACAUAGAUGAGUGUGCUUAGGAACAGCAGGACCCCAGGUUCUGAGCCCUGGCCUUGGCACACAAGGCUGCUGUCUCCUGGGUGGGUCGAGGGGGGAAGAAGCCCGGUGACCCCAGUGGAGUCCAUUUUCAUGUCUUCUACAAACUUCCUUUCCUCCAUGGGUCCCCGCUGCAACUAUCUGAGCCUGGAAUUCUGGGGUCAUCAACUCCCCAGAAGACACAGGAGGCCUCAUGGGGUUCCCAGCACAGCAGGGAUUCACUCGUCCAAAGCAGCAGGGGUCUCACCCGGGCUGAGCCACAGCGGCAGUGCCUCAGUGGGCACACUGGCAGCAGAGCCUGAGGCCCAAGGAUCUUCAGAACUUCCCCAAGGAUGCGCUCAGGCCAAAGGGAAGAGGCCCUCCCCAGCUCUCAGGGCAUUGCUUGGUCUGUAUGCAUGUAUGUAUUUAGUACUGAGCAUUGAACCCAGGGCCCUCCCUAAGCUACAUCCCCAGCCCUUUGUUUGUGUUUUGAGAAAGGGUCUCAUUAAGUUACUAAGUUGCCAGGACUGGGUUUGAACUGACAAUUAAUCCUCCUGCCUCAGCCUCCCAGAGUUCUAGAAUUACAGGUGUGUGCCACCAGUUUGCAUUCUCUUUUACACACCAAGGUCUCCUAUUUUUCAGACCUGAUAUUUGUAUUCCACAAUUUCCUUCACAAAAUCUAGAUUUCUAAUCACUUCCUUUUGUGAAGACUUGUCCUGUGAUAUGCGGCCGGGCACGCAGGCACUGGCUCCUUGGAAAUGGUACCAUUGAGACGGUGACCCCAGGUGUUGUGGAUCCCCGGCCAUGCCUAGGCCAUUCCUGUGAUGCCAGGAAACAGCUGCACAGAUGUCUCGCUCUGCGCGUGACCAGAGGGAAAGCAUGUCUCUCCCCUGGGUUAAGGCCCUGGGUGGCAGUGAAGUCAUCAGGGACCCUGCCCAAGGCACCCACCUGCACUGUCUUCCUUCACUUCUCAAAAAGAGGCCCAGGACAGAGCCUGACUUAGGGUUGCCCCCUUGCAAGUGGCAGACGCUGAGGCAGGAAGCCCAGGGACUUGAGUCACCCACCCCAAUCCCAAGUGGGGUUGCAGUGUCCCCAUUACCUCUCCUCAUAGCAGGGGAAGCUUCUCGCCCUAGAGGACUCUUCUGUGCCCCUCUUGGGUCACUGUGGGUGGUCGGACUCAGCGAUGGGCCCCGGCCCAGGGCUACGAAGGAGGUGCCUGAGCAUCUCCAGGCAGAGGAAUUGUGGGUGCAGAGGGAAUGAACAUUACGGAGAUGAGCUCUGCAGUGCCUCCCUUCAGGCCUGGGUAGGACCAAGCACACCAAACUCUGCUCCAGACCCGGGCCCAGGCGUGUGCAGCCCCCAGAGACGAAUGCCAGUCACUGUGUUUGAGGACACCCCCCGCAACAGUGGAAGGGGGAGGAGGGGUGGGUCGGUCCACUCUGGCUCUCUGGGGACCAGCCUCUCUCUCCACGAGUCUCAUCCAAUUCCCGAACCUCACCUUUCUCAUGAACAGUGUGCAGCUCACUCUGCUGCCUCUGCGCCUCCACACGGUGCUGACAUUGACUGUCACCCCCUUAACAAAGAGUGCCUGCACACUUGCCUUGGGGUGGUUCCACCUGGGGCUGGCCCUUCUCUCGAAGGCUCCGUCUCGACGAUGACUGAGGGGCCUGAUGGGAGAAAGCACCUGACAUCAGUUAGUCGACUGACUGAGAAAGUCCACCCUCUGAGCAUCCAGGGGCUCAGCCUGGGCCUUAUUUGGAAGUAGGUUCAUGCAGAUGCACUGAGUUAAGAUCAGGUCACCCUGGAUGGGCACAUGCUUAGUCCAGUGUGAUCAGGGUCCAUGUAAGAAGAGAGGUCAAGAGCCCCAGAGGAGGCCACGUGAAGACAGAGCUGGAGACUGGGGUGACAUGGCCACAUGGCAAGGGACGCCUGGAGCCCCCAGCAUUCCUGAGGGCCUCCAGAGGGACCCCCCUACCCCUCCAAUGCCGGAUGUUGAACCUCUGGCCUCACAACUAUGAGAGAGUGAACCGCUGUCAUUUGUCCUUGGUUACGACAGCCCUGGGGCAUGCGCCAUCCCUGUGCUGCAUUACAACAAAUCCCAGGAUCCCCCUGGUCCGGUAUCUGUUUGCACAGAUUUCCGGAUGGAUCUGGUCCACAAGAGCAAGUGAAGACAACUCUGUACACUUCUGUGGUCAGGGGACAGGAGAAAUGGAGCAGCAGCCAGGGAGUGUGCGGUCAAGGUAGUUCUGUUCUUUAAGGUCUGGGACUCUGAGUGCAUUUGCGUCCUGCUGAGAAAGCACACGGGAGAAUGGAUGAUGCCGGUGUGAGGGAGACGCCCAAGGGCAGCUGCUCAGUCUCACCCAGAACCCUUCAGGCCCGGCCCUCCUGUAGGUGGAGGGUGGAGCCCAGAGGCAGGAGGAGCAAGUGGGUCCACUUCACCCCAACUCCAGGGAGAGGCACCCUACGCAGACAUAGAGUGAGUCCUGUACCCCGGUCUCCCGAGUUUGCCCUACACAGCUUUCAAGUCAGACCUCUGCUGCCUGGUCAGGAACCUCAGUGUAGGGACCUCGGCUCCCCUGGGCAUUGGACACUGAGCAGCAGGCCCAGAAUGAGGCUCCAAGGAGGAAGGGACAUGUCCACUUGGGUCGUGUUUGCAUCACAGCUCUGGGCUUGGCAUCCCCAGACUCCAGCCCUGGAUUUCCAGCAGCUGGAGCUCUGCACAGAGUUCUUCCUAUAGGACAUUUUGUGGACACAAUCAAGAAACAGGGCUCCGGGCCAUCACUCUGAGUGUCCAGUGCAGAGCUGCUGGAGUGGUCACUUGUGGCCAAACUCUGAAUCCUGGGUGAGGAGCAGUAAGCAGGGAGUGUCCCAUUCCACUCAGAGCCUCUGUCCCAAAGGCAGGUGAGGCUUCCUAGGGCUGACAGCAGGGGCAGCCCUGUCCUCUCCAGCAGGAAGGAAUGUUCUCCUUUGUGUCCACCUGCAGGUUUGUACUCAGAUCUGCCAUGUGGGGGGCCUGUGGUCUGACCUGCCCUUCUUGCCUCUGGGGAGCCCUCCUUCGAGGCCCCUGCAGAGCCCCAUCCAGCCAAGGCCUGGCCUGCUGCACGCAGAGUGCUCUGGGGAGGAGGAGCCUUGGGCUUCCACGUCACGGGGACGGACGUUGUUCCCCAAGGCAGCUGCUGCUGCAGAGAGGAAGGUGGCUCCUGUGUGCCAGAUGCACAGAGGCGAGCGGGUGGCUAACCCUGGCUGAGGGCUCAGCACUGUCAGCGUGACCUGACUCCUCAGGUGUGCUGUCAUCUUACCAUGAGCUGAGAGCCUCCUUGGAUGCCAUCAACAGCCACCUGCAGAGGACACAGGCCUCGCCUGCGGCCACACCUGCCCUUGCUGCCUGGCUGUGCAGUGGAGACCCCUGUGCCUCACCUCUGCAUCACAACACUCGGCAGGGCUGACACACUGGCAGCUCCGCGCCCAGGCCAGCUGAUUCCAUCAUUUGAAGAUGCCAUUUCUUCUGAGCCAGAGAUUUUAUGGCUCUAAGGAUUAGAAGCUGUUAUCCCAACCCACCCCGGAGCACUCUAUUCUGAGUUUAUGGCAGGUGUGGACAGCUCCGUCUGCAGGUCCCAGAGUCCACUCCAAGCACCUCCCCAAGGGCACAAAGUCCCGUCCCCUGGGCCUCCACCCUGGAGCCAGAAGAGCUUGCAGAGACACUUCUGUCCACUGCAGAAGGACGUCAGGAAGCCAAGCUUGCAGAGGUGACCUGGCCUCUCUCAGAGGCCAGGAAGAGGCAACUGUGGGAGCCACAUCCAGCCCCUGUCCUUCCUGCCCCUGCCGGCCUGCUGACCCACCUCCCCAGCAGUGUCCACCCGACCACACUGAGCCUUGCCGGUCACCUCUCUCCCCCAGCAUCUGGCUCCAGACACAACCCUCUGGCUCCUGAGCUGUCUUUAGUGGUCGCUGUAGGAUUUCUGUGUACAUCUCAUCAGAGUCAACCUCAGGGUCUGCAGGAUUCUGUGGGGGUGGGGAUGGGGGGGUCAGGAAAUACAACUCCCACACAGCUCCUUCCCUCUGGCUUUUAUGGCACUGUUCUGUACAUGUGACUCUCUCAGGAUUACAAAGCCCACAACACAUCUGGCAGUUAUUCCCUUGCACGGGUCCUCACGCCCACAGCCCGGUCUGGCCUCACUCCCUCCCACCUUUGUGUAACUACUCCCAAACAUGAUACGUGGGUGCUACCUUUCCCUCUGCCACAAGCCUGACAAUCCAUUCCAUGCACAUCCUUUUCUAUGCCUGUUUGUUAUGUGCACGUGUCAACUUCACACAAGGAAUGUAAAUAUUAGGUGUUGCAAACAUGUAUUAAUAAAAAAAAACAGUUAAGAGGAAAAAAGGAGUUUUCCUUUCAAUGCCUUUUAUAAUUACUUUUGCUGGGCUCUUGGUCAGUGGUUCGAUCACCUCUUUCACCCGGAC